ACACCAAGAAGUUAAGUCAUACGGAAAUGGUUAAAAGACAGUUAAGUGUUGUAGAAAAUGUUAGGUUAUAUAAUGUAAUGUAUAGAGGUAAAAUUUAAGUGCAAUUAUAUGAAUCAGAAAUAACUUAUAGGCUGAAUCUGUGAAAUUCUUGAGGGAAACUGGGAUUAGGUACCCCAUUAUUCUUGAAUGUAAAUAGAAGUUUUUUACCGGAGUACUAUGAAUACUAUAAAUUUAAAACUCAAAGAACUUGGCGGUGUUUUAGACCACUCAGGGGAACCUGUCUCGUAAUCGACAAUCCACGUUGUACCUGACCUUUCUUUGUUCUCAGUUUGUAUACCGUUGUCGUCAGGUAACUUUUUAGAAUGUAGAAGUUGGCUGGAGAAAUAAAUGAUUUAGUACGUCAAAUCAAGGUGCAGCUAAUAGAAAGGGGAGGAUGGGUUACAAUUAUUUAUUUAUAAUUACGGAUUAUUAUGUUAAAGCGUAAAAAUAAGAAGGAGGACUUGAAAGUAAAUUAAAUUUAUAAAAAUAAAUUUGAAUAAGGCUCUGAAACGUGU
rnacentral:rRNA from 1 species